rnacentral:rRNA from 1 species
CAGUAGCCGCGGGAAUACGUAGGGUGCGAGCGUUAAUCGGAAUUACUGGGCGUAAAGCGUGCGCAGGCGGUUAUGUAAGACAGGUGUGAAAUCCCCGGGCUUAACCUGGGAACUGCGCUUGUGACUGCACAGCUAGAGUAUGGCAGAGGGGGGUGGAAUUCCACGUGUAGCAGUGAAAUGCGUAGAGAUGUGGAGGAACACCGAUGGCGAAGGCAGCCCCCUGGGCCAAUACUGACGCUCAUGCACGAAAGUGUGGGGAGCAAACAGGAUUAGAUACCCGCGUAGUCCCUGUCUCUUAUAA